ensembl:misc_RNA 7SK 7SK RNA
AAGAGGGUGAUAUGGCUGCCACAUCUGUCACCCCAUUGACUGCCAGGGUUGAACCAGCUGGUCCAGCUGCCUAGGAAGGUGUCUGCUUCCUCCCUCACUGCUCCAUGUGCACUCCUUCCAAAGCUGCACGGUUUGUCAAAAGGGUUGACCACCCCCUAUGGAGGAGGACCCUUUCUUCCUAAAGGGUAUACAAGUACUGCACUCCCUUGCUAGAACCUCCAAACAAUCUCUCAAUGUCAUCCCAGGGAUUUCAGAACUUUUGUUAGGAGUUUCUCAGGAAAACAGUAAUUUACUCCUGAAAGGACAAAAAAAAAGUUCUAAGGAAAUCUGCAGCAUUU